rnacentral:rRNA from 1 species
UUCGGGUGCCGACGAGUGGCGAACGGGUGAGUAACGCGUGGAUACCUGUUCUAUGGUGGGGAAUAACGUUUAGAAAUGAACGCUAAUACCGCAUAAGCCCUACGGGGGAAAGAUUUAUCGCCAUAGGAGGGGUCUGCGUCGGAUUAGCUUGUUGGUGGGGUAAUGGCCUACCAAGGCGACGAUCCGUAGCUGGUCUGAGAGGAUGAUCAGCCACACUGGGACUGAGACACGGCCCAGACUCCUACGGGAGGCAGCAGUGGGGAAUAUUGCGCAAUGGGGGAAACCCUGACGCAGCGACGCCGCGUGGGUGAAGAAGGCCUUAGGGUUGUAAAGCCCUUUCAGUAGGAAAGAUAGUGACGGUACCUACAGAAGAAGCUCCGGCUAACUCCGUGCCAGCAGCCGCGGUAAUACGGAGGGAGCUAGCGUUGUUCGGAAUUACUGGGCGUAAAGGGCGCGUAGGCGGUUUUGCAAG